rnacentral:rRNA from 1 species
GCAAGUCGAGCGGACAGAUGGGAGCUUGCUCCCUGAUGUUAGCGGCGGACGGGUGAGUAACACGUGGGUAACCUGCCUGUAAGACUGGGAUAACUCCGGGAAACCGGGGCUAAUACCGGAUGCUUGAUUGAACCGCAUGGUUCAAUUAUAAAAGGUGGCUUUUAGCUACCACUUACAGAUGGACCCGCGGCGCAUUAGCUAGUUGGUGAGGUAACGGCUCACCAAGGCGACGAUGCGUAGCCGACCUGAGAGGGUGAUCGGCCACACUGGGACUGAGACACGGCCCAGACUCCUACGGGAGGCAGCAGUAGGGAAUCUUCCGCAAUGGACGAAAGUCUGACGGAGCAACGCCGCGUGAGUGAUGAAGGUUUUCGGAUCGUAAAACUCUGUUGUUAGGGAAGAACAAGUACCGUUCGAAUAGGGCGGUACCUUGACGGUACCUAACCAGAAAGCCACGGCUAACUACGUGCCAGCAGCCGCGGUAAUACGUAGGUGGCAAGCGUUGUCCGGAAUUAUUGGGCGUAAAGCGCGCGCAGGCGGUUUCUUAAGUCUGAUGUGAAAGCCCCCGGCUCAACCGGGGAGGGUCAUUGGAAACUGGGGAACUUGAGUGCAGAAGAGGAGAGUGGAAUUCCACGUGUAGCGGUGAAAUGCGUAGAGAUGUGGAGGAACACCAGUGGCGAAGGCGACUCUCUGGUCUGUAACUGACGCUGAGGCGCGAAAGCGUGGGGAGCGAACAGGAUUAGAUACCCUGGUAGUCCACGCCGUAAACGAUGAGUGCUAAGUGUUAGAGGGUUUCCGCCCUUUAGUGCUGCAGCAAACGCAUUAAGCACUCCGCCUGGGGAGUACGGUCGCAAGACUGAAACUCAAAGGAAUUGACGGGGGCCCGCACA